ACACUCCUGCGGGAGGCAGCAGUGGGGAAUAUUGCACAAUGGGCGCAAGCCUGAUGCAGCGACGCCGCGUGGGGGAUGAAGGCCUUCGGGUUGUAAACUCCUUUCGCUAGGGACGAAGCUUUUUUGUGACGGUACCUAGAUAAGAAGCACCGGCUAACUACGUGCCAGCAGCCGCGGUAAUACGUAGGGUGCGAGCGUUGUCCGGAAUUACUGGGCGUAAAGGGCUCGUAGGUGGUUUGUCGCGUCGUCUGUGAAAUUCUGGGGCUUAACUCCGGGCGUGCAGGCGAUACGGGCAUAACUUGAGUGCUGUAGGGGUAACUGGAAUUCCUGGUGUAGCGGUGAAAUGCGCAGAUAUCAGGAGGAACACCGAUGGCGAAGGCAGGUUACUGGGCAGUUACUGACGCUGAGGAGCGAAAGCAUGGGUAGCGAACAGGAUUAGAAACCCGAGUAGUCCC
rnacentral:rRNA from 1 species